UUGCUUUUACUCCCUUUGCCUUCUUCAUCUUAUUUGCUUGUGGGAGGGCAGUUGCAGGCAUCUGAUGGGUAGAGAGGAAUGAAAAAACUGAAGGUUAGGUAGGGGAGGGGAGGGGACAGUGCAGAACAGAAAGCAUACACCUGGUAAAAUGCGAAGAGGCACACAAUCCCGGAGCACAGUGACCAGUGGAGAGGCUGGCGUGAGAGGAAGUUCUCUGACGAGCCGGGGCUGAUCACGUCGUGCUCCUAGAAGCAUAUGAAGAUUGUGGACGUGAUUCUGAAGAGAGAGAAAGAGAGAGAAAGCCUGAGUGCAGGGGGAGGAGCAAAAGGAGAGGACAGAGAAAAUCUCAAGCUGACUCCAUGCCUCCAAACCCAGCGUGGAGCUCAAGCCUAGUGAGCAGUUUUGCUGUGAACCUACGUUUGAGAACAAGAGAUUGCAAGGAAGAUCAUCAAAACCACUCUGAUCUAGAGGAAGACAUUUGUACCCUUAUCUCCAAUAGGACAAUUUGACAAAGGGGCUGGGCCUGACUCUGCCCCAGCUGGAGGAGACAUCCUGGUGCUGCUCUCCAAGGAUGGAGUCAAGUGUCACCCUCCACCGCCCCGUACCAACAGAAUCUCAUCUUUGAUCUGCUGAGCCCGGUCUCCAAACUGAAACGCCAGCUCCUCCACCUGCUGCUGCAGAGCCCAGCGGAGAGUCUGCAGCUGUUUGGCCUCCUGCCUGCAGUUAAAGAACAGAGAUUGACCACAUUUCCCAUCAUCUCCAAGCUCCAAGAUCAUUCCUCCAUCGUCCCUCUCAAAAGGUAGGUCACUCCUCUGACAUCUCUUACAAGGGACUGUCACCUUCUUUAUUUGUAUCAGAUACGGUAUAUCUCCAGGGCAGGUGUUCUUUCUUUUUUAAAUAAAUCGAUUGCAGAAUAAUUUGUA